rnacentral:rRNA from 1 species
GACGUAGGGCGCGAGCGUUGUCCGGAUUUAUUGGGCGUAAAGAGCUCGUAGGCGGCUUGUCGCGUCGAAUGUGAAAUCUCAGGGCUCAACUCUGACAUUGCAUUCGAUACGGGCAGGCUAGAGUUCGGUAGGGGAGACUGGAAUUCUCGGUGUAGCGGUGAAAUGCGUAGAUAUCGAGAGGAACACCUGCGGCGAAGGCGGGUUGCUGGGCUGACACUGACGCUGAGGCGCGAAAGCUAGGGGAGCGAACGGG